UGUUGGGAAUGUCACUGGUGGGAUCCGUUCCUGGCCUCAUUCUCGCGUUCAGUUGGUAGAUGGAUCGGGAAGGGACUCUUUCCCACGGACCGACUAUUCGGUUGAUAUGCGGAACGAGGUGAUUCCUCGAAAUCGUUCCCCUCGCGUGCCUCCUCUCGCCCUCGCCCCUCACCUCUCCCCUAACCCCUCUCCCUCAAGUCCGGCGGAUGGGCGGCAGCGACCAGGUCACCGGGCCAGCGGCAGGAUGGUGGCGACCUGGUUUAUGGGAUGGACGACAGCGACCUGAUCUGUCGAGGGAGGCGGCGGCGGCCCGAUCUGCUAGGAGACGGCGGCGGCCCGAUCUGUCGAGGGAGGCGACAGCCCGAUCUGCUAGGAGACGGCGNNNNN
rnacentral:lncRNA from 1 species